GGUGAUGGCUCGGUGGUAGAGCACCCACCUAGCACUUGGGAGGCACUGAGUUUGAUCCUCAGCACCA
rnacentral:tRNA from 1 species